GACUAAAACAGACAUGUUCCAUAACAGAAACCUAGCAACAACAUGGCAGGGGAAGUUAGCCUGCACAUUUGGAAAAUAUUAACAGUACAAGUAGAGCUUUAACAAACACAGCAAACACAGUAUACCGUCUACACUGCAGCUCUAAUAGUAGCAGCAGUUCGGUUUUUUAGCUCAGAGACAUGGAAGAGAAUCCAGCAUACGGUAGAGCAAAAAAUCAUGAACAGUCAGGAGAAUAUGCCUCAGUGACUGGUGAAGACACAAGAGACUACGUUUAUGCCAAUCCAAGCCAGCUACAAGAAAUAAAGGACAAACCACCAAAGUUGGACAAACAAAAGAAAGGAGCCCAAACACAGAGGUGUGCUCUAAUUGCUAUCACAGUGAUUCUAGUGAUAACUCUGAUGAUAGCACUGACAGCGUUCGCUACGGGAAUAGUUGCACUUUACUCCUUGGGGCAGGAGAGCAUCAGCAGUGUGAACCGGCUAACAGUGCACACACAGUGGGCUGAGGAGAGGUAUGCCGAGUUACUUGAAAGAGACAACAGCCUUCGGUUUACAGUGAACAAUUUGACCUCUCAAAUUAACAACCCUGUGAUUAGGAGGCUCAAUCAGAGCUGUAUAGUAGAUACUAUAAGCUGCAACAUUGGGCCUGACAUGUCAGGCUUUUAUUGGAGGGGCUGUCUUACACUACCAGUGCUACCAAAAACCAUAGCUGACCACUUCACUGUGGACAUAAGGUGUGUGUAUGACAGAGGCAACGAUUUUCUAUUUGAGAGUGCUCAACUCAUCCAAAGAAGCGGCACUGUGUUCUGCAGCUGCUCAGUGCUCAAUCCCAACCCAUCCGGACCAGAUCUACGAAUACUACCUGCUACCAUAAACGGUACCUGUACUCUGGAGAUCACAAGAUGCCCAGUUUGAAAUGUACAAUAGUACAUUUAGAAAGUAACAUUUAGACUACUUUCUGUAUAUUCAGUGAUAAUAAACUACAUGUACACAACAAGUGUUAAACUAGCUGCAUGCAUGACACCGAAUAUAGAAAUAGCAAUCAGCUCACCAAAAUAAAUUUCACUUACAAAUAAAUUUCAUCAUCAACCUGAGUAUUGUAUCUAAUCACUUAUUGUAUACACUGCCGUGA